rnacentral:rRNA from 1 species
UAGGGAAUCUUCGGCAGUGGACGGAAGUCUGACCGAGCAACGCCGCGUGAGUGAAGAAGGUUUUCGGACCGUAAAGCUCUGUUGUAAGAGAAGAACGAGUGUGAGAGUGGAAAGUUCACACUGUGACGGUAUCUUACCAGAAAGGGACGGCUAACUACGUGCCAGCAGCCGCGGUAAUACGUAGGUCCCGAGCGUUGUCCGGAUUUAUUGGGCGUAAAGCGAGCGCAGGCGGUUAGAUAAGUCUGAAGUUAAAGGCUGUGGCUUAACCAUAGUAGGCUUUGGAAACUGUUUAACUUGAGUGCAAGAGGGGAGAGUGGAAUUCCAUGUGUAGCGGUGAAAUGCGUAGAUAUAUGGAGGAACACCGGUGGCGAAAGCGGCUCUCUGGCUUGUAACUGACGCUGAGGCUCGAAAGCGUGGGGAGCAAACAGGAUUAGAUACCCUGGUAGUCCACGCUGUAAACGAUGAGUGCUAGGUGUUAGACCCUUUCCGGGGUUUAGUGCCGUAGCUAACGCAUUAAGCACUCCGCCUGGGGAGUACGACCGCAAGGUUG